UACACUCCUGCGGGAGGCAGCAGUGGGGAAUAUUGGACAAUGGGCGCAAGCCUGAUCCAGCCAUGCCGCGUGAGUGAUGAAGGCCCUAGGGUUGUAAAGCUCUUUCACCGGUGAAGAUAAUGACGGUAACCGGAGAAGAAGCCCCGGCUAACUUCGUGCCAGCAGCCGCGGUAAUACGAAGGGGGCUAGCGUUGUUCGGAUUUACUGGGCGUAAAGCGCACGUAGGCGGACUAUUAAGUCAGGGGUGAAAUCCCGGGGCUCAACCCCGGAACUGCCUUUGAUACUGGUAGUCUUGAGUUCGAGAGAGGUGAGUGGAAUUCCGAGUGUAGAGGUGAAAUUCGUAGAUAUUCGGAGGAACACCAGUGGCGAAGGCGGCUCACUGGCUCGAUACUGACGCUGAGGUGCGAAAGCGUGGGGAGCAAACAGGAUUAGAAACCCCGGUAGUCCCAUG
rnacentral:rRNA from 1 species